rnacentral:Y_RNA from 1 species
GGUCCAAUGAGUGCAGUGGUGUUUGAUCCAGUUACAAAUUUCUUUGGUUCUUCUCCCCUCCCACUCCUUCACUUAGCCUUGA